UGGGGAAUAUUGCACAAUGGGCGCAAGCCUGAUGCAGCCAUGCCGCGUGUGUGAAGAAGGCCUUCGGGUUGUAAAGCACUUUCAGCGAGGAGGAAGGUGGUGGACUUAAUACGUUCAUCAAUUGACGUUACUCGCAGAAGAAGCACCGGCUAACUCCGUGCCAGCAGCCGCGGUAAUACGGAGGGUGCAAGCGUUAAUCGGAAUUACUGGGCGUAAAGCGCACGCAGGCGGUUUGUUAAGUCAGAUGUGAAAUCCCCGGGCUCAACCUGGGAACUGCAUUUGAAACUGGCAAGCUAGAGUCUCGUAGAGGGGGGUAGAAUUCCAGGUGUAGCGGUGAAAUGCGUAGAGAUCUGGAGGAAUACCGGUGGCGAAGGCGGCCCCCUGGACGAAGACUGACGCUCAGGUNCGAAAGCGUGGGGGCAGCAAAACAGGAUUAGAUACCCUGGUAGUCCACGCUGUAAACGAUGUCAUUUGGAGGUUGUGCCCCUUGAGGCGUGGCUUCCGGAGCUAACGCGUUAAAUGACCGCCU
rnacentral:rRNA from 1 species